CAAAGAAUUAGUAAAACAUUUUAAAAAUUAGCUGUACAGGUAGUCUACACUCUUUCUAAACAAGUGGAGCGGAGGGUGAUCCAAGCUUAAUUAGGCUUUUUUACAAAAAAAAAAAAAAUCUCUUCUUCAUGAACUCCACUCUCAUUCAUAAUGGCUCAUUCCGGAAAUACUUUCUGCAGGGCAGUCAAGAAUCCCACUGUUGCCUGACUAGAGGUCUCAGUAGAUCUCCUCAGAUUUCUUGGAGGCAGCAGCCUUAAGUAUGUGUGUGUGUGUGUGUGUGUGUGUGUGUGUGUGUGUGUGUGUGUGUAUGUGUGUGUCUAUUUCCCACGUCGAGAGAGGGUGGGUUCUUCAAAAACAAACCCAAAAAUCUACGGAAAUGUCCCAAGAACCUCUCAGAAACAAACCCAAACACUAAAAUAUCCACUUCUUUUUUUUUUUUUUUUUUGGUUCUUUUUUUUCGGAGCUGGGGACCGAACCCAGGGAAAUAUCCACUUCUAAGUCACGGAUUUAUUCCGCAUUCUGUAAGCGCGUUGGGGACACCUGUGGAACCUGCCAGGUUCCAAAUCCCAGGUCCUGGAACCAGGCUAAGCGACCCCUGAGACUCACCGUAGGUGAAGUAUGCCACUUCCGGCGGAAGUGAGACGUUGUGCAGCGUUACAUCCUGCACGUACUGGUCCACGUACAGCUGGGCCUCACUGGCCUUGAGGAAAGCCAUGAACCUCGCGGUGAAGGAGGCCACGAAGACGGACAACAUGCCGAAAUCCAGUCUGUUUAAAGGACUUCUCACUGCCCUUGCUCGUUUCUCUCUAAACAAAGCACCUGUCUCGUGCAUACUCUGUCAGACUUCGGACAGUCAUUCAGUGCACCGUAAGUUACUUCACAGAGUCCUGGAGGUAAAUGUCACCUGGGAGCCUCAGUAUCAGCCUGACUGUCAACCACAGGGACUUCUCUAAGGUCCUCUGUUGGAUGAAGAGGCUUGCCUAGGGACAGAGCUGCAUUUAGAGAGAACAGUUCCGGCACUCUUUGGGAAAGCUGGGUAUCACACCCACUAAUGCAGCAAGCAUAUUUAAACAGCCGUGAUGUGGCAGGCACCGGAGAGACAUACCUAAAUAAAACAUAGCCCUUGCAUGCAAGUUACCAAACUAAGACCACAAGGUUGCUGGAAGGGCCCUGGGACAGAGUCAGGCAUUCCACAGACACACUGCCAUCAGGGCUUUCAAAGGGGGAGACAGAGUAGGAACUGAGACCUGUGGACGAGUAGAAGCUAAGAGGGCUGAGGCAGGUGUGAGGCAUAGCAGGGGUGAACUUUGGGGAGGGGGGUUGCAAAGGCCCUGUUGGGAAGGGGCCAUCCCUGUGUAGGCUGGGCUAGAUGUUGGUGACUCUGACCAGGCCUGAUCGUGUGCACAGACUGUGUGUAUUACUCAGCACACCAAGUCUGCUCAUGUGUCUGCACAGGAGCCCACACACUUCACAAGUCUUUACCCAGAGCUAGGAUGUUACUUGGCUUUAUGCUGCAGAGUUCUCAGCAGGGCCUUGCCUGAGCCUCCUGCCCUUCUGCCCGUGCUGCAGUGAUUCCAAACCUGGAUGUGUCUUGCCCAGUCCUUGCAGCCCACGCCUCUCCACCCAUCCUUGACCUCUUCUCUGUCUUGGCAGUUCUUUAUUUUACACACAUGCACAUGCGCGUGCGCACACACGCACACACUCCACUGUGCACACACAGUCCUCUCUAGUCACCCUAUGUCUCCACCCUAUGUCAGAAUGAUUGCUCCAAGCUGUGACUAAGGAUUGUAAGUUGAAAUAGAAAGAUGGAUGGUCUUCACGAAGGGUCCUCUUUUCUGCCAGCCUCCCACCACACAGCGUUGGCCCAAGCAUGCUUGGCUGGAAUUGCCAUGGUUUGAAGGUGUUGCCCAAAGCUCCCAUCUUGGAAAUGUAGCUGCCAGUGCUGCAAUGUUAGAGCCUAAUGAGAAGUAACUUAGUCAGAGGGCUCUGCCCCUGUGAUUGUACUAAGGUCAGUAUCAGGGGAGUGAAUACAUUGUGACAUGAGCUAAAAACUGUACUUAGAAUGGUCUGGUACUCCUACCUCCCACCAUGGGACAAAGCAGGAAGAGACUGCGUAUGCGCACACCUGACCAUUGGUCUUUCCAGCCUUUGGUUAACUUCUCUUUGUAAUUCAUCGAACCUGCAACAUUCUAUGAUAAAAUAGAGUAAGAGAGGCACAAUUUAAAAAGGUACAAUUAUUCCAAGUGUCGUUACCAUUGGUUAUCCUUUAUCGAACUCUUGCUGUGUGCCAAGACUUGGGCUGCCUUACAUACUUAGCUCAUCAAAUUCUCAUGGGAAACUUAGGGUGUAGAUACUGUUAACGUUUCUGUUCCCUGGAUGGGGGUCUGAAGUCCAGAAACUUGCUGACAGCCAAAAUUCAAGCCCAGGUCUCCACAUCUCAGAACACGUAGGUACUCAUAGCAACACUAACUGUGUUAGCACAUGGCCUGAACCCCCAUCACCUCUCUGACAGGCAGGAAGAAGCAACAGUGUUCAGGGUCCUUCAGGGCCUGGUGUUUGAGGCAGCAGUCCUGAGACUCCAGGCAGGGUCUUGUAUUAACACACCCAGGGGAGGCAGGAUGAACUGAUGGGCGAUUUUAUGUCCUACUUGGUUUAGGGGGAUGCACACUGACUCAUGUGCGGGGCAGAAGCUGACACACAUUUCCUAAAAGAAUGGGUCCUAAGUCUCCCAGGAAACUGCCGCAGUACAUGCUCCAAAGCCCGCACUCCGUCCUGAGAGCUGGGUGAUAGAUAUUCCACCCACUCUGUCCCCCAUGCUGUUUUGAUCUCAUAGCUCGCCCUUUCCCUGUAGCAAGUCCCCUGCCCACUCAUAUCCUUGUCUGCAUGGUGAGAGAUAUGGCACUGGGUUGAUUGGCAGAAGGUUCCCAGAGGCCCCUUGUGGGGGCUUGGAAGGCCUUGCAGCUCGUUCCUCAGACACACAAAGAAACAGCCUGGCAGGUUGUAGCAACCACGCCUGUGUCAGCUCAGUCCCCGAGGGAUCGCACAGUCAGCUGGGUGGCUUCAGCAAACCCAUUUCUGGGAUCUCUCUGUCCUGUCAUGGCUGAAACUUAUGAGAUAGGUAGCUCCAGAUGCCACCAAACAGAAGUGGCUCCUCCUGGGUCCUGCCGAGCUUCCUCCCAUUGGCAAAGCCAAGCCACAUCCACCCAUGGUGGAUUCUCUCAGUCAUUCAUCUAGCCAUGGAAGAUGAACCAAGCAUCUUCGGUUCAGGCUGGGAUCCGGGAGAUGUGGAGAGUGGGCAGGCGUGCCUUGCCUCUGUGAGGUUGGCUGGUGGUUCAAAGGUCACGGGAGCUCUCCUGCUUGUGAAAGUGGAACGCAAUUGUUCUACAGUGUUACUAGUUUCUGUGAAAACAUUUCCUUUUAAACAAACACUAUUGGUACGAUUUGGAAACAGGGUAAGAGUUUACUAACCCCAAGGCAGCUGAGUGACUUUGAGGAACCUCCUCGUGGAAGGAGGUUUUACCCAGUGUGUGCUCACUGAGCUGCCUUGCACUGGAGCUACGAGGUGGGAUAAUGGGGUUCUUCUCCCUGCCCAGAGAGACACUGUCUCACUGGCAGACUGGUUUAUAUGUGACGAGUGUUAAGUGUUCACUGAGCAAAGGGCCACCAAGCACUCACAGCAUGCCAGCAGCAGCCAUAACAAGGCAAGUGGUCACUUCUCUUGUGGACCUUGCAUUUCACUGGGGGGAAGGGAAGCUGCCUGGAGAGGCCACUGCUUCAUGGAGUUGGUGAAGCAGGAGCUCCCUGAGGAGGUGACUUUGAAUGAAGAGUGGAGGGAGGUGAGGGAGACAGCUAUGCAAAUUUGUGGUAUGUUCCAGACAGGGUCGAAGACUGCAGAGCAGAAAGAGAGUGUCAGUCAGGGGUUGGUGAGGAAGAGCUGGAGGGCAGGGACGGGGCAAAGAGAACAGGAGAGGGAAUGGGGAGAGCUGAGGCCAGGGGAGCAGCGGCGAACAGAUGGUGGACGUCCAAACAUCGCUUCUGAGAACUGUCCUCCUUUUCCUCCAGGGGGAUGGGAAGUCAUUGGAAGACUUGAGAGCAGAGCGGACACCAUCUGAUUCAUGCUCUGAAAAGAUCAGUCUGGCUGCUGGGAUGGAGGGAACUGCAAGGGGCAAGAGCAGAAGCAGAACGGCCAGUCGGGAUGUGGUUUCCAUAUCCUCAACGGGAGAUGAAGAUAAAUUGAAAGAAAAUCCGAGGUGAGAGCAAAUAUGGCCUUCGCACCAUACACCAACUGUGUCUUGUGAGAGUGGCUCAGGCAGGCGCUAAUCUGAACUCGGCAUUAGAGGGUGACUCACGUGGUGAUUGCGGAUUCGGAAGAAGGAAUGCUUGUGAGAACCUUCGGGAAGAGCCAUUGUGUGCACUCUAUGGACAGAAGCACAUUUGAACAUUGUGACCGCUGGGAAUGCUACUGAUUAAGGACUAACAGCAAGAUGGCAAGGUAGCAAUUAAACAGUGCGGGACCCUCCGAUGACGAGGACAAAAGAAAGAGCAAAAAAUCAACUUAGGCAAAGCAGGGUCUGUGAUUUCCCUGAGGAAGGGCCAUGCAGCGUUCUCUUCUUUGCAUCUAAACCUCAGGAGUGCUCUGCAUUCUGUUUGACACUUAAAUGGAUUCUUCAUAUUUCCUAGCUCAGGAUCGACACCCCACAGGAUCUGUGAAAUCUAUGACUUGACCUCACUAUGCAGUCUGGUUUAAGAAUCGUCUUGUGGAGGCUGGAGGGACGCUUCAAGGGUCAGGAGAUCUGGCCGUUCUGGCAGAGCAUCUUGGUUUGAUUUCCAGCACCCAUGUGGCAGACCACAGCUGCCUGUGAUUCUAUGCCGUGGUGUAUGAUUUGAUGCCUGGCUUCAUGCAGGCAAGAUAUUCACUCACAUGAGAGAGACUGAGAGAGAAGGAGAGGGGUAGGUGGGGAGAGAGAUGAGAGAUAAGGAGAAGGAGGAGAGAGAGAGAGAGAGAAGGGGAAACAAGGGAGAGGGGAAGAGGGAGAGGGAGGACAUUUGCAAUAAGCCUUAAAAUAGAGCUGUCUGUUAAAGGCAGUUAAUUAUCCUGAGCUUAGACAGAUGUAGUAACUUUCUAAAGGUUCUGGAAUAGAUACGGUGUGUGUGUGUGUGUGUGUGUGUGUGUGUGUGUGUGUGUGUGUGUGUGUGCGCGCGCGCGCGUGCGCGCGCGUGCCUGAUUGACCAGUUUAUUAACUUCAGUCUCAUCUACCCAGAUGCCAGAAUCUAUAAGGGAAAACUGUCCUUAUUAUGUCUCAACAUCCUCACUAACAUGGGCCCCUUCUCAGAAGCCAAACCCUCUCCAGGCACACCUGUGCCCAGAUUCCUGAGCAUACUCUACGUUCACACACACACACACACACACACACACACACACACACUCACUCCUCAGAUCCCCGAGCACACUGUGUCCCCACACACUCACUCCUCAUGCUUCCCCUUCUGUCACCCAUCUGUGAACUCCUUGGGGUGGGGGGAAGACCACUCUGGGAAGCUUUUGCUCACAAUGUAUCAUCCUGGGAGAUCUCCUUACUCUCCAGCUCUUCCCUUGUUUCCAGGAUGGAGGCCGGAUCCUCUGUAUCUUCCAUCCCCAGUAUAGGACUUGGCACAAAGCAGGGAACUACCGUUUGCAGGUAGGUUUUAACUUCUUAGUCUGUUUGCUUCUCUGUAAAAUGGGAACAACAGUCCUCUCUUACGUUUUAAUUAAAGACACUGGCUGUAGUUUGCUAAGCAUUCUUGGUUUUAUCCUCCACAAUUAAAAAGUUGUAUGAGUGUGUGUGUGUGUGUGUGUGUGUGUGUGUGUGUGUGUGUGUGUGUGUGUAUGUUAUUGCUGUUGUUUAUGGUAGUAUUCUACAGAAAUCAGGAGCAGAAAGACUUGAAGCCUUGGGUGGUCACGUGGCUUUCCUCUCCUGGUGCUGUCUCCUCUCUCUACACCUUACCCCCAUGACUAUCAUAAAGACUCUUUUAUGACCUAACAUCCCUAAUGAUAUGUGAUAGUGUGGGAGCGUUUGACCAAGCUGUUUAAUCCCCUGGAGUAAUGUGGAAAUCGCAGCUACCACGUGAACACUUGGCUAAGCUUGCACGGCAUGUGUGAGGGAAGAGCAGACCCAACACUGCUUCAAGUCUGAUUUGCAAAUUUGUCUGCAUAGGGGAGAUACUAUUUAAAGGCGGCAGCUCUGGCUCCUGAUGUUUCCAGCCUGAUUUGAAAGUUUUUUCUAUUCUUGCACAUUUUCUGGAGCUCACUCCCAUGUUUAUGUUAAAAGUAUCCAUUUUAAGCCCAUAAAACAUCAAGUUUCUAAUGUGCCUUGCUAGAGUGUUGAGUGGACUCUUUGGAGAAGGAACUUAAAACACAAUAAUCACCUGACAAGAGACACUGUUGCCAGAAAGACUUGUUCUAGCAGUCGUAAGUGUGAUGGGAAAAGACCCAAACUAGCAUGGCCACAUAGUAUGCCUGGGAAGCUGUAGGGCAUUCUUAGCAGACAAGCACUGAACCCCAUCGUGAUGAAGGCUGGUGGCUACAAGCUGAUAUGCCCUAGAAGGGAAGACGGGCUCCCGCCUGCCGGGUUCAAGCAAGUGCUUUGGGAAAGGGAGGUGGAGGAAAGGGAGAAGGAAGAAGGAAGAAGGGAGAAGGAAGAAAGAGGAAGAGAGUGGGCAGCAGGGAGUCUCUUCAAACCAUUUGUUAUUAGUGCUUAGCAAUCUUUCCCAGCCUGGGACACAGUGACUAUUGCUAACUUCAUACUGUGAGGGUGAGGGGGUGGAAAGACCUGGGUGGUGUGGUACAUGGUUAUACCAACCAGCCCUUCUCUGUUUAGACCUCUAUAAUUCUUGGAACACUGUCCUUUUAGGGGAAUACAAAUACUGUCAGCUUUUAUCAGUUUUCUAUAUCUUCUGUCACUGCCUCUAGUUUGACCUGAGCUUAUGGCCCCACCUCCUAACCUCUUAGCCAGUAGGAAAGUGAAGAGAGUGCAGGUGGAGGCACUGCAUCUGCAGUGGG